rnacentral:rRNA from 1 species
CCUACGGGAGGCUGCAGUGAGGAAUAUUGGUCAAUGGGCGCGAGCCUGAACCAGCCAAGUCGCGUGAGGGAAGACGGUCCUAUGGAUUGUAAACCUCUUUUGUCGGGGAGCAAAAGACGCCACGCGUGGCGUUCCGAGAGUACCCGACGAAAAAGCAUCGGCUAACUCCGUGCCAGGAGCCGCGGUAAUACGGAGGAUGCUAGCGUUAUCCGGAUUUCUGGGGGUUAAAGGGUGCGCAGGCGGAAGAUCAAGUCUGCGGUAAAAGUGAGGGGCUCAAACUCUUCGAGCCGUUGAAACCGGUUUGUUUGGGUGAGUGAGGAGUAUGCGGAAUGCGUGGGGUAGCGGUGAAAUG